rnacentral:rRNA from 1 species
CCUGGCUCAUGACGAACGCUGGCGGCGUGCUUAACACAUGCAAGUCGAACGGAGCUUCUUGGAUAGAGACCUCGGUCAAUUUAAUUGAAGCUUAGUGGCGGACUGGUGAGUAACGCGUGAGGAACCUGCCUUUCAGAGGGGGACAACAGUUGGAAACGACUGCUAAUACCGUAUGACACAUUUGGGUGGCAUCACUUGAAUGUCAAAGAUUUUAUCGCUGAAAGAUGGCCUCGCGUCUGAUUAGCUAGUUGGUGAGGUAACGGCCCACCAAGGCGACGAUCAGUAUCCGGACUGAGAGGUUGACCGGCCACAUUGGGACUGAGAUACGGACCAGACUCCUACGGGAGGCAGCAGUGGGGAAUAUUGGGCAAUGGACGCAAGUCUGACCCAGCAACGCCGCGUGAAGGAAGAAUGCUUUCGGGUUGUAAACUUCUUUUAAGGGGGAAGAGCAGAACACAGUACCCCUUGAAUAAGCCACGGCUAACUACGUGCCAGCAGCCGCGGUAAUACGUAUGUGGCAACCGUUGUCCGGAUGUACUGGGUGUAAAGGGCGUGUAUCCGGGUUUUAAGCUCCAUGUGAAAUCCACGGGCUCAACUCGUGAACUGCAUUUGAUACUGAACAUCUUGAGUAUCGGAGAGGUAAUCGGAAUUCCUAGUGUAGCGGUGAAAUGCGUAGAUAUUAGGAAGAACACCAGUGGCGAAGGCGGAUUACUGGACGACAACUGACGGUGAGGCGCGAAAGCGUGGGGAGCAAACAGGAUUAGAUACCCUGGUAGUCCACGCUGUAAACGAUCAAUACUAGGUGUGCGGGGACUGACCCCCUGCGUGCCGCAGUUAACACAAUAAGUAUUGCACCUGGGGAGUACGAUCGCAAGGUUGAAACUCAAAGGAAUUGACGGGGGCCCGCACAAGCGGUGGAUUAUGUGGUUUAAUUCGAAGCAACGCGAAGAACCUUACCAGGGCUUGACAUCCUACUAACGAAGUAGAGAUACAUUAGGUGCCCUUCGGGGAAAGUAGAGACAGGUGGUGCAUGGUUGUCGUCAGCUCGUGUCGUGAGAUGUUGGGUUAAGUCCCGCAACGAGCGCAACCCCUAUUGUUAGUUGCUACGCAAGAGCACUCUAGCGAGACUGCCGUUGACAAAACGGAGGAAGGUGGGGACGACGUCAAAUCAUCAUGCCCCUUAUGUCCUGGGCUACACACGUAAUACAAUGGCGGUCAACAGAGGGAUGCAAAGCCGCGAGGCAGAGCGAACCCCUAAAAGCCGUCCCAGUUCGGAUUGCAGGCUGCAACCCGCCUGCAUGAAGUCGGAAUCGCUAGUAAUCGCGGAUCAGCAUGCCGCGGUGAAUACGUUCCCGGGCCUGUACACACCGCCCGUCA